rnacentral:rRNA from 1 species
UACAGAGGGUGCAAGCGUUAAUCGGAAUUACUGGGCGUAAAGCGCACGUAGGCGGCUCUUUAAGUCGGGGGUGAAAUCCUGGAGCUCAACUCCAGAACUGCCUUCGAUACUGAAGAGCUCGAGUCCGGGAGAGGUGAGUGGAACUGCGAGUGUAGAGGUGAAAUUCGUAGAUAUUCGCAAGAACACCAGUGGCGAAGGCGGCUCACUGGCCCGAUACUGACGCUGAGGUGCGAAAGCGUGGGGAGCAAACAGG